rnacentral:lncRNA from 1 species
UUCAGUCUGGUCUCGCGCAAUGGGCUGAUGAUAUUUGGUGGAUACAAUUUUAAUGAGGGGGUUUUUCACCUUUGCGAGUGAUUUGGCUUUUUCAAUUAGCAUUACUUUUGCCUUCUUGUUGUUUUAUUGAGGAUUUUGUUGAUCAUUCUCAUGUUAUUUUCGCAGGCUUGCGAGAAGAUUCAUUUGAGGCACUUUUAAUUCAUGUUCUAUCUAAUACUGUUUUAACUCGACACUUCUAAAUAAUUCUUGUUCUCGUGGUUUUUUAUUAGUCAGUGAUUGAACUAAAGACCACGGAUUAUUGAUCUUCGAAAGCGAAUUUAUAUAGAGGUGGUUUUACAUCUUCGAUAGUGAUUUUGAUGUAUGAAGUUUCUAUGCUCUUGAUGAGGUAUAUGCCAGUUAUUACUCAUUUUCGGUUAUGUCUAACUUGGUAGCAUUUUAGGUUAUACCUGUUGGUCUGCUUUCUCGAAUAUAUUCUGUUUAGUAACUAGUGUCUAUUCUACUACUAUUUUAGUCUUGGAAGAUGUUUUGGUUGAGAUGACUCUGUCACGUGGUUUGAAACAUUCUUUUUUACCUUCAUUUUUUUUAAGUCAUUUUUUCUUGGAAGUAUGUUUCACCCUUGUUGACCAUUGCAUUCUUGAUGGCCUGUUUUCUAUUCUGUGGAUGGAAUUGAAGGCCAGACGAUGACAGGAGUUAAGGCCAUAGGUUUCAAUGCUUGGGAGAGUACUUGCAUAGAGGAGGUUUCAACUUUCUCUCUUCAACUCAUUUUUUAUAUGCACUGUUGUUAACUACUUGCUGACUUUUGUCUUCUCAAUUGUCCUAGACUUGAAAUCUCACUUGUCAGUGGACGUACGGCACUAGGUUGUCAG